rnacentral:lncRNA from 1 species
CUCGUUACAAUUAUUGAUACACUAUUUUAAAAAAUAGUAAGGACUACUAAAACAACUAUCCUAAACGAUCACUCCAUACCCCGGCUAGUUCCUGCUAUGUUCUCACCUCCUGAGAAGAAAAAUGGAACAAAAAGGAAAAGGGUGAGCUCAACUGGCCCAGUAAAGAAUAUUAUGACUAAGAUAAUAUACAAGAAAUUAUCAUUAGUCUUCAAUAGGGAAAA